rnacentral:lncRNA from 1 species
GCCGUGGCAUCCCUUGGAAGUGGGCUGUGCGUGCCCUCCGACCCGGCCCGCAGUGGGGUCAGACCCCUCUGAGGACGAGCUCCUCUCCCGUUUUCCUUCCUCCACCCCGUGCCGGGAGCCUGCACGGGGCUUUGCUCGCCUCGGGGCGGAGGAAAAUCCGUCUGACUCGUCAGUCAGAACGGAGAAUCGAGAAGUUCAAUCCCGGCGCGCCCAGAGGAGCCGGCGAGUUCCUGCCCGCUGUCACCGCUGGCGUUCCGGAGCGCGGACGGACUGACAGACUGACGGUGGUGGAUGUGGACUUUUAAACUGUGUCUCAACAUCUCAUCCUCAACUAUUUUUAGUCUGAUUGCACUACGAAAGAAAAGCUGCUAAUGGGAUAAAUGUUGAGACUUUACAAGAACUGACUUGAAGUACCGAAAGCCAUUAUUAUUAUUAUUUUAUUAUUACUAUUAUUAAUCAAGAAGAGCUUGAAGCUAAGUCUAUAUCUGAUCAGUUGUU